rnacentral:rRNA from 1 species
UACGUAGGGUGCGAGCGUUGUCCGGAAUUACUGGGCGUAAAGAGCUCGUAGGCGGUGUGUCACGUCGUUCGUGAAAACCUGCAGCUUAACUGUGGGCGUGCGGUCGAUACGGGCAUCACUGGAGUUCGGCAGGGGAGACUGGAAUUCCUGGUGAAGCGGUGAAAUGCGCAGAUAUCAGGAGGAACACCGGUGGCGAAGGCGGGUCUCUGGACAGUUCCUGACGCUGAGGCACGAAGGUCAGGGGAGCAAACGGG